rnacentral:misc_RNA from 1 species
GAUGAAGAACGUAGUGAAAUGCGAUAAGUAAUGUGAAUUGCAGAAUUCAGUGAAUCAUCGAAUCUUUGAACGCACAUUGCGCCCCUUGGUAUUCCGAGGGGCAUGCCUGUUCGAGCGUCAUUAUAACCCCUCAAGCUCAGCUUGGUGUUGGGGCCUGCUGCACUGGCAGCCCUUAAAAUCAGUGGCGGCGCCAUCUGGCUCUAAGCGUAGUAAUUCUUCUCGCUAUGGAGUCCUGGUGGAUGCUUGCCAUCAACCCCCAAUUUUUCUAUGGUUGACCUCGGAUCAGGUAGGAUACCCGCUGAACUUAAGCAUAUCAAUAAGCGGAGGA